GGUUAAGUGAAUAAGGGCGCACGGUGGAUGCCUUGGCACUAGGAGCCGAUGAAGGACGGGACUAACACCGAUAUGCUUUGGGGAGCUGUAAGUAAGCUAUGAUCCAGAGAUUUCCGAAUGGGGGAACCCAAUAUCUUUUAUAGGAUAUUACUUUUCAGUGAAUACAUAGCUGAUUAGAGGUAGACGCAGAGAACUGAAACAUCUUAGUACCUGCAGGAAGAGAAAGAAAAUUCGAUUCCCUGAGUAGCGGCGAGCGAAACGGGAAGAGCCCAAACCAACAAGCUUGCUUGUUGGGGUUGUAGGACUCCAAUAUGGUAGUCUGUUAGUAUAGUUGAAGGAUUUGGAAAAUUCCGCUAAAGAGGGUGAAAGCCCCGUAGACGAAAUGCUAACAACACCUAGGAGGAUCCUGAGUACGGCGGAACACGAGAAAUUCCGUCGGAAUCCGCGGGGACCAUCCCGCAAGGCUAAAUACUCCCUAGUGACCGAUAGUGAACCAGUACCGUGAGGGAAAGGUGAAAAGCACCCCGGAAGGGGAGUGAAAUAGAUCCUGAAACCGUGUGCCUACAACAAGUCAAAGCUCGUUAAUGAGUGAUGGCGUGCCUUUUGUAGAAUGAACCGGCGAGUUACGAUUGCAUGCGAGGUUAAGUCGAAGAGACGGAGCCGCAGCGAAAGCGAGUCUGAAUAGGGCGAAUGAGUAUGUAGUCGUAGACCCGAAACCAUGUGAUCUACCCAUGUCCAGGUUGAAGGUGCGGUAAAACGCACUGGAGGACCGAACCCACGUACGUUGAAAAGUGCGGGGAUGAGGUGUGGGUAGCGGAGAAAUUCCAAACGAACUUGGAGAUAGCUGGUUCUCUCCGAAAUAGCUUUAGGGCUAGCCUCGGAAUUGAGAAUGAUGGAGGUAGAGCACUGUUUGGACUAGGGGCCCAUCUCGGGUUACCGAAUUCAGAUAAACUCCGAAUGCCAUUCAUUUAUAUCCGGGAGUCAGACUGCGAGUGAUAAGAUCCGUAGUCGAAAGGGAAACAGCCCAGACCACCAGCUAAGGUCCCAAAAUAUAUGUUAAGUGGAAAAGGAUGUGGGGUUGCACAGACAACUAGGAUGUUGGCUUAGAAGCAGCCACCAUUUAAAGAGUGCGUAAUAGCUCACUAGUCGAGUGACCCUGCGCCGAAAAUGUACCGGGGCUAAACAUAUUACCGAAGCUGUGGACUACACCAUUAGGUGUAGUGGUAGGAGAGCGUUCUAAGGGCGUUGAAGGUCGAUCGUGAGGACGGCUGGAGCGCUUAGAAGUGAGAAUGCCGGUAUGAGUAGCGAAAGACAGGUGAGAAUCCUGUCCACCGUAUGACUAAGGUUUCCUGGGGAAGGCUCGUCCGCCCAGGGUUAGUCGGGACCUAAGCCGAGGCCGAUAGGCGUAGGCGAUGGACAACAGGUUGAUAUUCCUGUACCAGUUGUUUUUGUUUGAGCAAUGGAGGGACGCAGUAGGCUAAGGAAUGCAUGCGAUUGGAAGUGCAUGUCCAAGCAAUGAGUCUUGAGUAGAGUUAAAUGCUUUACUCU
rnacentral:rRNA from 1 species